GGAACGAACGCUGGCGGCACGCCUAAUACAUGCAAGUCGAACAAACUCUUCGGAGUUAGUGGCGCACGGGUGCGUAACGCGUGGGAAUCUGCCCCUUGGUUCGGAAUAACAGUUGGAAACGACUGCUAAUACCGGAUGAUGACGAAAGUCCAAAGAUUUAUCGCCAAGGGAUGAGCCCGCGUAGGAUUAGCUAGUUGUGAGGUAAAGGCUCACCAAGGCAACGAUCCUUAGCUGGUCUGAGAGGAUGAUCAGCCACACUGGACUGAGAC
rnacentral:rRNA from 1 species